rnacentral:rRNA from 1 species
CACGGGGGGAGCAAGCGUUGUUCGGAAUCACUGGGCGUAAAGGGCGUGUAGGCGGUCAGGUAAGUGGAAUGUGAAAGCCCUCGGCUCACCCGAGGAUCUGCAUUCCAAACUGCCUGGCUUGAGUAUGGGAGAGGAUGAGGGAAUUCCUGGUGUAGCGGUGAAAUGCGUAGAUAUCUGGAGGAAUACCGGUGGCGAAGGCGGCAUCCUGGACCGACAUUGACGCUGAACGGCGAAAGCUAGGGGAGCAAACGGG